AUCCCAAACAGCCAGGCUGGGAUGGUGAACUAUAAUUUAUAUCAUUUUUCAUAUGGGUUAUAGGCUCCAAAGGCUUAGACUCCUUCAAAUGGGAACCACAUUGAAGAAGGGGUAAACCAAUGUUAAGAAAUCUGGUCCCAGGAAGCCACCUGCUUCUCAUUUGGGAUGUUCCUGGGUUUAUUGUUUGUUUCCAAGGCCCAGCUGGAUUUGAGAGAUGGCAGGGCAGCCAUGGAUCACUGCCCUUGCCAGGCGUCCAUGCUGAGGCUGGGGUGAGCCUCCACUCUGAGUGCUCGGAGCCUCUGGCGUGCCUGCACGUGGAGCUCUGUGGGGGAAGCUGUGUGGGAGCACGCUCUCUUUGUACUCGCAUGUCCCCAUGGAGCAAAGCCAGCUGGAGACAACCGAGUCUGAGCAAAGCCCCACGGCCUGUGGGAGGCCUGGUGCCCCAGGCUGGUUCGGGGGAGCAGGAUCUCUGCGCCUCCCCCAGCCACUGCUUCUUGCAAACUGAGAGGCAGGGCAGCAAACAGCCCAGGAAGCUGGCUGCAGUGAAGAUGAAUGAACCGAAGCUCCUCACGACAACAUGGAUGGAUCUUAAGCACAUGGUGUUGAGUGAAAGAAUACAAAUGAUGGACUCCAUUCAUACAUGGUCCCAAACCAGGUGCGCGCAGAUCUGAGGCCCUGAUCUGUUCCACUCGCUUUGUGCCAAGCAGAGCUGGGGACGCGAACCCCGGCAUGAAACGGCGCCCACAACCGCAAGACCCGGUGUGCGCCCUCUGAAACUGAAUCCCAGAGAUCCCCAGCAUGCAAAGCAGAGGGAUUAGAAAUGGCUUGGAUCAUACAAACUGAGGCUUGAAUCUGGUUAACCAGCUGUGUGACUUUUGCCUCCUGCACUUAAUAGCCUGGGGCUUUGGAUGGGAUGGUGCCCUGUAGAGGCCGUCUGGUCCAGCCCUCUGCCUCAGGAAUGAACAUACAUGGCCACCAUGGAGGAAAGGCCAUGUCUUGAAUCCUUUGAAGACUGCCAUGCUGCAAGAACUCCCAGCCUGGGUCUGGAAUCCCUCCCCCACAACACAGCUCCUCCUUGGACCUGAAUCCCACUGGGUACCAGGGUGGAGAAAGCAUUGUUCUUCUGCAGGUUUCUUGAGAAAGAGGAGCCAAUAGUUCUCCCACUGCUAAGUGGUUGGGGUUAAGGUUGCUACAGACGCCUUACAGGUGCCCUGGUGACUAUGAGCCAGGGUGGGACCUCUGGCAUCUGAUGUCUACCCAGGCUCUGUGCUGACACCAGCUUACAGGACACCCCCAGCUCAGUAUGCUUGCCUCUGGAGUUAAUUUCCUUUCUCAAAUCAGAUUAACUUCAAAGUUUUUAUUCAUUCUUUUAAAUUGACUUAAUGAUUCAUUCUUCCUAAUUAACAGAUAUUGGAAAAGAAAAGAAACAGUAUGGUU
ensembl:lncRNA